GCGUGGAUGAUGAAGGCCCUAGGGUUGUAAAAUCCUUUCGCCGGAGAAGAUAAUGACGGUAUCCGGUAAAGAAGCCCCGGCUAACUUCGUGCCAGCAGCCGCGGUAAUACGAAGGGGGCUAGCGUUGCUCGGAAUUACUGGGCGUAAAGCGCACGUAGGCGGGUCAUUAAGUCAGAGGUGAAAGCCCACAGCUCAACUGUGGAACUGCCUUUGAUACUGGUGACCUAGACCAAAGUAGAGGCAGGUGGAAUUCCGAGUGUAGAGGUGGAAUUCGU
rnacentral:rRNA from 1 species